CAUCGGGCGGAAAAGAGCGCGAUGCGGAACCGGGGGUUUUGGCUUUUUCCGUGAAAAGGGCGAGAGCGGCCGCCUGGACGGAGGGCUAGGAUGCGGAUUUAGCUUUUGUUCUUCAUCGUGAGACUGAGAGCCUCACACAAAAAGAUGAAGAGAUAUGUAUGAAUCAUUGGAUUGGAAAGAAGAAUUUCCUGCUGGAGAGAGAGCUGGGGAAAGAAGGGUAUCAGUCUCUUUUUACAAAGGACCAGAUGCAUCACAACAUUCUGAUUUCCCUGGAAGUCACUGUUCCCUGCCAGUACGACCUGGGAGUGUUUGGAGAACACAAAAGGGAAACUUGUGAUGGCCCUCUGGAGAAUGCAACCAUGCAGGGUUUCAGCAAAGGCAGUAAGUGCCAGCACUGUGAUGGCAUGUUCACUGCUCUUUCCUGUUGGCUGCCACAAUGGUACAAACCACCAAGCUGGCUUUAGUUUAAGGAAGGAAGCCAAGGGAAGACUAGCUAAGUGUAGUUCUGUAGGCAUAAUUAUUAACUACAGUCAUAUUACUUACAAAUAUACACAUAUAACCUCCAUAUAAUUAUUUUAAAUUAUUUUUAAAAUUUAGACUUUUAUAAAGAUCAUUAUGAUUUUUUUUUAAACACAAAAUAUACAUUUGAAAACUACUACUCAUCCUUCCUGUUUUUAAAGCCCUGCCAUGGUGCAAGACCAGUCACAGGCAAUGACAGGAGUCAUAAUAUAACCACAUAUGAGGUUGGUGAGGUUCAGCCUGAGGUACACAUUUUUUGCUAUCAUUUGCUGUAUUUCCCUUUUCAUUAUACCUGAUUCCAUCUUUAGUUUUGAUUGUUUAAUUCUGACUAGUUAAGGUACAGGUACUUGCCCUGACUUACCUCGUACGCCACCUCUGAUUUCAGCCCUCUCCAUGCAUUUCUUUCAGCAGCUGGAAUGAUGCAGGAUCUAGUUAGAGUUUUGUCUUCCUUCACCCUUCUCUGUUCUCAGCAGUCACUGGCAGCAGCCCUUGGAUUCCUG